UGACAGCCUAGGAACAGUGGGUUAACUGCCUUGUUCAGGGGCAGAAUGACAGAUUUUUACCUUGUCAGCUCAUGGAUUCAAUCUCGCAACCUUUCAGUUACUAGUCCAACACUCUUUUUGGAUCCAGCCAGAGAUAAUAUGGUGGUGCACUGACUGUGGGGCUGAGGCAAUAUUUUGCUCUGACUGUGUGGUGGCCACCCAUAAAAACAAAAACAUCGUGCACCACCUGGAGAUCUGGCAGGAUGAGUAAAAGGACCCACCAUUUGCUUUUGAAUGGCACUGGAGGCGGAGAGAUGACUUUGGGAAGAGACUUGUAUACUGCCCUGACAAAUGAGGCCUACGAGGAGUUCUGACCUGCUAUGUCGGAACUUGACAUGUUGCGCCGUCUGGCCCCAGAAACUGACGAUGGAACCCAGUGCCCACUCUGUCCCAAGGACAAUGGAACAGUGGUGGUAGCAGCGGAUGCCCUUUUUGGUUUGCCUAGAAAAAAGUAGUCUGAAUCAAGUUAUGAGCCACCAAAACAUGGCGAAAAGUACUUUUUGUCCAUAACUUUUUAGAGAAACUUUUCUGAAUUGAAGCAUGAGACCAAUAGAUGGUCAAGGUAUUGCCAGCCGCCUGUCCAAAAGGCUUGCCACGG
rnacentral:lncRNA from 1 species